rnacentral:hammerhead_ribozyme from 1 species
AUCCAGCUGAUGAGUUCUAAAUAGGAUGAAACGCGCAUCCUGGAU